rnacentral:snoRNA from 1 species
AAGCAGGAUUCAGACUACAAUAUAGCUGUUAAGUGCUGUAUUGUCAUUACCGGCCUGCUCAAAUUAAAGUUGUUUCUGAACUAUACCCAUCUGCUAUUCUGUAGCAGCCAGGGAUGCUUGGUCACAUACAU